rnacentral:rRNA from 1 species
AUAGCUUCGGCUAACUUUAUUUGGUUUUAUUUUUGUUAAUACUAUUAACACUAAUAAAUUUAUUAUUGGAAAAGAACAAAUAUAGUAUCGACUUUGUCGAAUAAAGUUCUAGAUAGAAUACUGAUUAUGACUAUUUUCUAUCUAUAUGUCUUGACCAAAUUACGUGCCAGCAGUCGCGGUAAUACGUAGAAGACUAGUGUUAUUCAUCUUUAUUAGGUUUAAAGGGUACCUAGACGGUAAAAUUAGUCUAAAAUAUGAUACGGUUUUACUAGAGUUAUAUAUAAGAAGGUGAGUAUUUAAGGUGGAGAGUUGAAAUUUUAUGAUACCUUAAGGACUGAUAAUGGCGAAGGCAACCUUCUAUCUAAUAACUGACGUUGAGGGACGAAGGCUCGGGUAGCGAACAGGAUUAGAUACCCUAGUAGUCCAAGCAGAAAAUUAUGAAUGCCAUAGACUAGAAUAUUUUAGUUUAUAAAUGAAAGUGCAAGCAUUCCACCUCAAGAGUAAUGUGGCAACGCAGGAACUGAAACCAUUAGACCGUUUCUGAAACCAGUAGUGAAGUAUGUUAUUUAAUUCGUUGUUACGCGAAAAACCUUACCACAAUUUGUAUAAUAUCUUAUAAGGAUAUUACAAGCGUUGCACGGUUGUCUUCAGUUAAUGUCGUGAGAUAUUGGUUAAUUCCAUUAAAUUAACGGAAACCCUUACUUUAUUUACAAUUUUAAAAUAAAGUAGUUCACCAGUAUAUCGGAAGUGAUAA